CAAGUGCGUAAACCCAAGCCCUGCUUUAUGUACAUUUCACAUGGGUGAGUUACAAGGAAUCGCGUGACCUUCAGUGGCCGGCCCAACUCUGCGUGACCUGUACGGCAUCCCGGCCCGUUCCUCAAGAUACACUGUGCAGCGAAAGGACGUCAUGCAUACUCAAGGGCAAAAUUCCAAGUAUCAGAGGACGAUUGCAAGGCUUCGAAGACAGCAGAUCAAGGCGUACCAGCGUAUUGGAAUUUCUGGUUGUAAUGGCAGGACGCAUCACAGCAUUUCUUCUCAUGUGUGCCGUCUUCACCUUCGGCAUCAUGGCCAUUGCAGCCAAUCAAGACGCUACAGCACGAGGAAGUUCGGUGCCGGCGAGUGCUGCCAAUGAGGAUGCAAGAAUCGACCCUGCUGUGCUCGGAAGCUUGGUGGGUGGAGGCAUCGGCUGAAACUCACGUGAUUGGCUGCACCGAGAGAGCCGCGCGAGAGAACCGACUUUUGCAGCGUGCUCACUUUAUAGUUUAGCGAGUGCA